UAUUGGGCAAUGGAGGAAACUCUGACCCAGCAAUGCCGCGCGAAUGAAGAAGGUCUUCGGAUUGUAAAGUUCUCUAGCCAGGGAAGAAAAAAAUGACGGUACCUGAAGAAUAAGCCCCGGCUAACUACGUGCCAGCAGCCGCGGUAAUACGUAGGGAGCAAGCGUUGUUCGGAAUGACUGGGCGUAAAGGGUGCGUAGGCGGUUGUACAAGUUAGAAGUGAAAUACCCAGGGCUUAACUCGGGUGCUGCUUCUAAAACUGUAUGACUUGAGUGCAGUAGAGGUUAGUGGAAUUCCUAGUGUAGCGGUGGAAUGCGUAGAUAUUAGGAGGAACACCAGAGGCGAAGGCGGCUAACUGGACUGCAACUGACGCUGAGGCACGAAAGUGUGGGGAGCAAACAGGA
rnacentral:rRNA from 1 species